CUACGUGCCAGCAGCCGCGGUAAUACGUAGGGCGCGAGCGUUGUCCGGAAUUAUUGGGCGUAAAGAGCUUGUAGGCGGUUUGUCGCGUCUGCUGUGAAAGGCCGGAGCUUAACUCCGUGUAUUGCAGUGGGUACGGGCAGACUAGAGUGCAGUAGGGGAGACUGGAAUUCCUGGUGUAGCGGUGGAAUGCGCAGAUAUCAGGAGGAACACCGAUGGCGAAGGCAGGUCUCUGGGCUGUAACUGACGCUGAGAAGCGAAAGCAUGGGGAGCGAACAGGAUUAGAUACCCUGGUAGUCCAUGCCGUAAACGUUGGGCACUAGGUGUGGGGAACAUUCCACGUUUUCCGCGCCGUAGCUAACGCAUUAAGUGCCCCGCCUGGGAAGUACGGCCGCAAGGCUAAAACUCAAAGAAAUUGACGGGGGCCCGCACAAGCGGCGGAGCAUGCGGAUUAAUUCGAUGCAACGCGAAGAACCUUACCAAGGCU
rnacentral:rRNA from 1 species